rnacentral:piRNA from 1 species
GUUUCUAUUUCUCGGUGCCAAGC